AACGAACGCUGGCGGCAGGCCUAACACAUGCAAGUCGAGCGGACAUCUUCGGAUGUUAGCGGCGGACGGGUGAGUAACGCGUGGGAACGUGCCCUUUGCUUCGGAAUAGCCUCGGGAAACUGGGAGUAAUACCGGAUGUACCCUUUGGGGGAAAGAUUUAUCGGCAAAGGAUCGGCCCGCGUUGGAUUAGGUAGUUGGUGGGGUAAUGGCCUACCAAGCCGACGAUCCAUAGCUGGUUUGAGAGGAUGAUCAGCCACACUGGGACUGAGACACGGCCCAGACUCCUACGGGAGGCAGCAGUGGGUAAUCUUAGACAAUGGGGGAAACCCUGAUCUAGCCAUGCCGCGUGAGCGAUGAAGGCCUUAGGGUUGUAAAGCUCUUUCACCGGGGAAGAUAAUGACGGUACCCGGAGAAGAAGCCCCGGCUAACUCCGUG
rnacentral:rRNA from 1 species